AUGAUCCGCCGCCGCCCGAUGAUCCACCGCCGCCGCGAUCUUGCCUCCCGCCUCUGCCAUAGCCACAACCCCGCCACUGCCCAAUGCUGCUCACCCCCACUCGCCACCUACCCAUCCUGCUUUGGGCAAUCCUGGAGCUCGUGGCGGCGCCGAAUGAUGCACGGUGCCCCACUAGGCACUGCCGAUCGAUGGGCCAUCCUCCGUAUGCGAAGCCCCCACCCCGCCGCGCGGUGGCCCCAGCUGCACCCGACAACGCCCCGGACAGCCCUUCAGUCUUCCCUGAGAGAGCCAGAGACUUCUUACCAAGGAAUCAGCAGAUGAUAAAUCUAACAAGGUUCGUGUGAAAGCAAGUCUGGUCCAAGAGUUUUUAAGCUGGAGUCUGGGAAUGUUAAGAAAAAAAAAAGUUAUUAUCUACAUUUCAGUCCAAUGGCCUUCCUGGAUAUUGGCUUCAUUUUUCUAUCACUUCACUGCACACUGAGCAAUUCCUCUGAGGGAAGGGGCGCAUCCCUAGCCUUUGGCAUAGCACUGGGGAGUGUGGAGAUAGCAGUCUAUAAUAACAAACAUGUCCAGAGGCUCUGAGCUAAAGUCACAGGCUUGGGGUGAGAGAGGAAGGAGAAAUUGUACCCAACCUACAACUUGUGGGGCGGAGGGGGUGGACAGGAUAAGGUAUACACACACCAAAAAUCUGAACUCUGUUUUCUAUUCUUUGCUAUCUAGAGAAGAAUCCAAGCACUUUAAGGGGGCCCUCCAUAGAGGACUGCAAAAAAUGAAAAUCCACGUACAUGAACAAGAUUGUUAUCAACUGAGAUGGGUUGAAAUCAGAUGGCAACUAGAGUGAAAGCCCAUAGAGGUCAGGGGGGGUGAUGAGUUCACACUCCAAAGCCUUUCUAGCUGAGUAAGGCCUGCACCAGGAGGAUACAUCACAAACAGACUUCGGUGCCCCUCACACUGGCAAAUCUGUUCAGCCGUUGUGUUCAAAAGGAGUUAACCUACCACAAGAAAUGCUCCGUAAUAAGAUACCAAGUCAAAGGAUAAUGAGCACUUUUCAAAGGAAGGAUUGCAAAGUAUAAAUGACCCCAUAAAAACCUAUUCCACAUCACUACUGGUCUAGGAAACAUACGGAAAGAGAACUUUGAGGUUUCACAUCACACCAGAUAUUGGCAAAAAAUGAAGGGUGUGACAACAUUGAGGGCAGGCACAUGGAUGUACUGUUAGUGGAGUUCUAAAAUGGCCCAUCCAUUCUAGGUGUGGGUUAGAAUUCUGCCAGAAAAAGUGAGGUUGCCUGGCCAUAGUGGGUGGCCCAGCUCUCACUCUCCUGGGC
rnacentral:lncRNA from 1 species